UGUCGCUCGGUGCGGUUCCCUUCGUUGGCAAGUUUGCAGUUAUGUUCCUAUUUAUUCAAUGUGAGAACGAAUCGGAAAAGCAUGUCGUCGAGCACAAUACAAUUGUGACCUUCCACGCAAUAGAAUACUACGACAAACGAAAGUUUUUCGGGGCAUUUUGGAAUGCGACGAGACGACACAUGUUACACGACAGAAAAAAGGCAGGAUGAAUGAGCGGCGCUGAAGCAGAUGUAAAGUGGAUCACGAGCCACUUGCAGAAGAAAAAAAGAUAAGUACCGGCACUUCUAUUGCACCACGAAAUGAAUUAUUCUGGUGUUCUAGUGACUGAUUAGAAGUGAAUAGGGGUCACAGAUUUCGCUCGUCGCACGGUGUACACCAGUAUUCGGUGAUCGAAACAUGUCGUCUUUGCGGCUUUUAGGCAAGGCAGGAGAAACAAGCACUGCACGAAGGCAUGCAGAAGAAGACACUGUUUCUGCCCCUGGAUUCCGCGAAAAUCAGUGAACAAAGACCACGAGAGUUCGAAAUAAAAAGAAGACAUGGGUCGUUUACAGACAGAAGUGCAACGCUGGCGCAAAUUAAUCAUAUGCUGCAAAAGGCCAUCGCUUCAAAAGUUUUUCAAAGUGAUUCCGAUAAGACCUGAUUGAGCACCUCUCCACUCCCAGUCCCUCUAGCAGCCAUGGCAAAAGCUGUACCAGAUGAUUGUAAUGUCCUCACAUUUUUAUAAUUUUGUUUAUUAUCAAGGUCUAGCUUUUUUCCUGGUUUGCA